rnacentral:ncRNA from 1 species
AAAAGACUUAGUCCUAACCUUACCGUUAGUUUAUGCUGAAUACAUACAUGCAAGUAUCUGCGCCCCAGUGUAAAUGCCCCUAAUCUCUUGCUAAGAUGAACGGAGCAGGCAUCAGGCACGAUCAACAUUAGCCCAAGACGCCUUGCCCAGCCACACCCCCACGGGUACUCAGCAGUAGUUGACAUUAAGCAAUAAGCGUAAGCUUGACUUAGUUACAGCAGCCAUUAGGGCCGGUAAAUCUUGUGCCAGCCACCGCGGUCAUACAAGAGGCCCAAAUUAACCGUAUCCGGCGUAAAGUGUGGUACUGUCAGUAUCACAAUAACUAGAAUCGAAAUGUAACUGAGCUGUCAUAAGCCUAAGAUACAUGUAAGCCCCUCCCAAAAGUGAUUCUAGCCCUCACGAUUGACCAAGUCCACGAAAGCUAGGGCACAAACUGGGAUUAGAUACCCCACUAUGCCUAGCCCUAAACCCCGAUGCUUACCCCACUAAAGCAUCCGCCCGAGAACUACGAGCACAAACGCUUAAAACUCUAAGGACUUGGCGGUGUCCUAAACCCCCCUAGAGGAGCCUGUUCUAUAAUCGAUACCCCACGAUUCACCUAACCUCCCCUUGCCAAAGCAGCCUACAUACCGCCGUCGCCAGCUUACCUCCUAUGAGAGUGUUAAAGUGAGCAAAAUAGCCUCAACUGCUAACAAGACAGGUCAAGGUAUAGCCAAUGGGAAGGAAGAAAUGGGCUACAUUUUCUAAUAUAGAAAAUCACACACGAAAGGGAGUAUGAAACUGCUCCCCGAAGGCGGAUUUAGCAGUAAAGUGAGACAAAAAAGCCCGCUUUAAGUCGGCCCUAGGACACGUACAUACCGCCCGUCACCCUCCUCAUGAGCUACAAGCACCUAAUAACUAAUACCUCUUACAGCUAAAGAUGAGGCAAGUCGUAACAAGGUAAGUGUAUCGGAAGAUGUACUUAGCAUACC